AAGAAUGUGUGUUGGGCUUGUAAGU
rnacentral:piRNA from 1 species